AUUGAACGCUGGCGGCAUGCCUUACACAUGCAAGUCGAACGGCAGCACGGGAGCAAUCCUGGUGGCGAGUGGCGAACGGGUGAGUAAUAUAUCGGAACGUGCCCGGUCGUGGGGGAUAACGUAGCGAAAGUUACGCUAAUACCGCAUACGAUCUAAGGAUGAAAGCGGGGGAUCGCAAGACCUCGCGCGAUUGGAGCGGCCGAUAUCAGAUUAGGUAGUUGGUGAGGUAAAGGCUCACCAAGCCGACGAUCUGUAGCUGGUCUGAGAGGACGACCAGCCACACUGGGACUGAGACACGGACCAGACUCCUACGGGAGGCAGCAGUGGGGGAAUAUUGGACAAUGGGCGAAAGCCUGAUCCAGCAAUGCCGCGUGAGUGAUGAAGGCCUUAGGGUUGUAAAGCUCUUUACCCGUAGAUGAUAAUGACAGUAUCGGGAGAAUAAGACUCCGGCUAACUCCGUGCCAGCAGCC
rnacentral:rRNA from 1 species